rnacentral:rRNA from 1 species
UACGGAGGGUGCAAGCGUUGUCCGGAUUUAUUGGGUUUAAAGGGUGCGUAGGCGGCCCUGUAAGUCAGUGGUGAAAUACUGCAGCUUAACUGUAGCAUUGCCAUUGAUACUGUAGGGCUUGAGUACAGAUGAGGUAGGCGGAAUUGAUGGUGUAGCGGUGAAAUGCAUAGAUACCAUCAAGAACACCGAUUGCGAAAGGCAGCUUACUAAGCUGUAACAUGACGCUGAGGCACGAAAAGCGUGGGGAUCGGAACAGG